rnacentral:lncRNA from 1 species
UGCACUGUUAAUAUAGUGGUGCGUAAGCAGUUGAUAAUGUAAAAGUGUCUCAUCUUCAGAUUUUGCUUUGAACAAGUUCAAUAAUCUUUCCAAGGGACCACUAAUAGAGCCAGACCUUAUUUGGGCAUGUACAGAAAAACACAGUAUCUGCAUUAUUAUUUUGUCGGGGGGUACUGGAGGUCAGUAAUGCUUUUAAGGUUUUGUUUUUUUCAAACCUUGGAAAUACAGUCGUAGUUUACACCAGUGUUUCUUUAACUCUCUGUCACUUUGGCUUAUGUGACACAUGAUGAUAUCUGCAGGAUCAAGGCUUUCCAGGACCAAGUGGUCAUUGCAAUCAGAGCUCCUGAAGGGACCAAGUUGGAGGUCCCUGCCCCAAAAGAGGACAGCAUCCAAAUCCGCUUGAAGAGCACCAGGGGUCCAAUCAAAGUGCUGCUGAGUGAGACAGAUGGGCCUUGCAGGGGCCGAAACUUUGGAGCUGUCUUGGCAGGCACCUUCUUUACGCUGGAGAACAGCAGAAUACGGGUCACCCCACUCAUUGCAGAUGGAGCCCCCCAGUAACCCAUGGGUGGAAAAAAACUGCACAUUUCUGAAAGAAUCCUAACAUCCUGCUGUUGGAAUUUUCAUCUAUGUAAAUAACAAAACACUAAAAGCAUCUGUUUUAUUUCUGCUUGGAUUUUUAAUUGUCAGGAUGCCCUAGUAAAGUUUUCUUUUCGUUUUCUGAUAAUUUUUACAAUGAAGACUGGAAUGCACAUCUAAACCUUAAAAACAUGGACCAGGUUGACAAUCCUAAGAAGGGCAAUUUGACAGCUCACAAGCCUAAAAAAAAAAAAAAGUUUAUUUUUGUGUAUAUGAAUAUGUAAAUGCUAUUAAAAUUGUUGAGAGAUUGCACUGCAGUGCCCAGUACCUUUUUAGUUUUUCCUUGACAUUGCCUGGAGGAAACUGGCUGCUGAAAUUGCCUACUGAUGAGAGGCUUGACAACUGUGUUAUUACAGCAUAGUUGAAUAUAGCUAUCAGUAAAAACUUUCAAUAUUCUUGUAAAUAAACAUGCAAUAUGCAAGUGUGUUUAUAUCUGA